rnacentral:lncRNA from 1 species
UGCAGCCUAGAAAAUAAUUGAUAAACUCCCAAGUAGCCUUAGAUUCAGGAGAAUCUUGCCAACUGACUUAUAGUUUCCAAAUCCGAUUGUCAAAAUCAAAGACAACAACUCUAUGCCUCUUUCAUAAUACUUUUGCAUGUGUACUUGUGGUUUGUAUAAGUGUAUUCGGAUUCCACUGGAAACUAAAUCACAUUCUUUUAAAAUAUGAUCUAUUACCUCCAUUCUUAUAAAUCUCGAAAUGUAGGAUAAUAAUAAAUCAUUUGUGUCAUCAUAUGUGGGAAAGUCGAGUUUGCAUUUAGGGGCACCACAAGUACCUCCAUCCUCUCAUUCACUUGUUGACCAAAAUUUUGUUGGCGACUAGCAAUUUAUCUUGAUUCUGGUUCAUCCCCAAUUGAAGGUUCCAACUAGUUCGGAAAUUUACUGAACUAAGUCAUGCAAACAUGCAUUGAAUCGUUGCAUGAAAGAAUUAAGCUUCUUUUCUAAAAUUGUUGAAUCACCCAUGACGAGCUCUGAUACCAAUUUGUUAUGGUGCAAAGUAACAAAUUGAAUGACGCGAUGAAUAUGAUGGAUAGAGAGGAGCUCUUAACACGUCAAAACUCAAGAAAGGAGAUGGUCUCAAUCUCACAAUUUUUAGAAUAAAUUUGUUUAUUUUAUUAAAUAAUUAGAUAUUCCUUAUAUAGUGGAGGUUCUCACAAUCCUAGUACUGCUAAGAAAAGUAAAAGUCUAACACAAGUUACUAUUAGAUAAUAGUAGAAGUCUAAUACGCUAUUAUUGGAUAAGAAACUACUAAGAUAAGAUACUAGAAAUCUAGUAACAAACUACUAAUAUAAGAUAACUAUAUAAAUGUCAAUCUAAUUAUUAUUGAUAAAUAUAAUCUCAGUUCAUAGACUUUUUUAUGUUUAACACCAUUGAAGAAUGGAUGCAUAGAGUUGUUGUCUUUGAUCUAGACACCUGAGUUUAAAAAAUAUUAGUUAGUUAAGUUUGUCAUAAAUCUGAAGCCAUAUGGGAGUUUAUCAAUUAUUUUCAGGUUGCAUAUCCUACCUUUAAACUUGACGACAAGCUCCUUUUUUGAGAGGGAAGUAUUGUUUUUCUAAGAGGGAAGUAAUGUUAUGGAUAAUGGAUAGACUAAAUCCAUUUUUCAAUAGAGUUUAAAUUUUUUUUUAAGAGAAAAAAUUCAUCAUCUAAGAUAUUAUUUAUUCACAAUAAAAAGAUUAUAUUUCUCCACAAUAAAUAGAUUAUAUUUAUCUAAUUAUCUCAUCUUAGAUUUUUAAUAUCUUAUCUUAGAAGUUUGUUAUCCAAUGGUAACUUGUAUUAUACUUUUUUCUUAGAAGUAAUAAGAUUGUGAGAACCUUUACUAUAUAAAGGUUUCUAAAUAUUCAAUAAAACAAGCAAAUCAUUCUCGAAAUUGUUCGAUUGAAUCUCUCUCCUUUUUUAAGUCUUGAGGUAUUAAGAACUCCCUUUAAUGAGCUCCUUCCUUAUCCAUCAUCCCGUGACGUGACCUGGGACCAUAAUAUUGAGCCUGAGGUGUGCCUUUAACAACACUAGGCCAUGUCAC